GAUGAACGCUAGCUACAGGCUUAACACAUGCAAGUCGAGGGGAAACGGCAUCGAAAGCUUGCUUUUGAUGGGCGUCGACCGGCGCACGGGAGGGUAACGCGUAUCCAACCUGCCCAUCACUUGGGAAUAAACUUGCGAAAGUAAGACUAAUGCCCAAUGACAUCCCACGAAGGCAUCCGAAUGGGACGGAAGAUUUAUCGGUGCUGGAUGGGGAUGCGUCUGAUUAGCUUGUUGGCGGGGAGACGGCCCACCAAGGCAACGAUCAGUAGGGGUUCUGAGAGUAAGGUCCCUCACAUGGGGACUGGCCCCCGGUCCACACUCCUACGGGCGGCAGUCGUACGGAAGAUUGGUCAAGGGGCGAUUGCCUGAUCCGGCCAAGUAGCGUGCAGCAUGGCGGCCUCCGGGGUUGUAACCUGCUUUUAUAAGGGAGUAAAGUGCGUCACGUGUGACUUUUUGCAUGUACCUUAUGAAUAAGCACCGGCUAAUUCCGUG
rnacentral:rRNA from 1 species